GAGGGCGGCGGGCAGGGCGGUGGGGCUCAGCUGGGGGUGGUAGAAGGACUUCCUGCAGUUCAGCUCGCCGCCCAGGAAGGAGGGCAGCCCCGAGGCGGCGGAGAAGACGGAGGCGGCGGCGGGAGGCGGCGGAGCCGGGCCGCGUUCGGCAGUGUGAGAAUCCGCGGUGAUGAAUUGCCAGUCUCUGCCGUUAACAGGCUCGGCGAAUUCGGCGGGACCCCGAGGAGAGGGCAGAAGCGGACGCCUCCGUCCGCGCAUCUCCACUGCAAGCAGCAUUUCAGAGCCGGAGCCUCUGCGCGGAGUCGAUCGCAUCCUCCUUCCUCGCGCGGACAUCGGGAAGAAUUUCUCGAUCCGAAGGGGAAAGUAGAGGGGAAAACGUGCUGAGAGUUUCUCGGGAAAGUGGGAAGUCUGUCCCGCGGGCGCGUCUCAGCUCUGGGGGAGCUUUCCUGAGCUUUCACUUUUACACUUCUUCGAUGUUCCUAACCUGUGUUCACAACACAUACGCAUAUAUUUCCCUCUCAUAAGUUUGCGUGUAUCUAUGUAUUCAACUAUGUCUAUAUUUAUUGUCUUUCUUUCCCCGAUAUAUUAUUUUUCACAUACAGAAGUAUAUAUAAUUGUCUAACGCGGAGCAAUGCCUCGGAGAUGCCGCAUCUUUCCUACCAACAUUGUUUAAACUCUCCAUUCAUCAGCCCGGUGGAAAAGCGAUGGGAAGAACAAAUGGAAGAGAGCGGAGAGGGAAAAGACCCGAGCCGCUUUCCAUUUUUAUUAAGUAAAAUAAUAGUUAUGCCUCCCCUACAUAAACGAAAGUGUCAUAAAAAA